rnacentral:rRNA from 1 species
UACGGGGGGGGCAAGCGUUGUUCGGAAUUACGGGGCGUAAAGGGCUCGUAGGCGGCCAACUAAGUCAGACGUGAAAUCCUUCGGCUUAACCGGGGAACUGCAUCUGAUACUGGAUGGCUUGAGAUUGGGAGAGGGAUGCGGAAUUCCAGGUGUAGCGGUGAAAUGCGUAGAUAUCUGGAGGAACACCGGUGGCGAAGGCGGCAUCCUGGACCAACACUGACGCUGAGGAGCGAAAGCGUGGGGAGCGAACAGG